rnacentral:lncRNA from 1 species
GUGACCUUGCUCAAGGACCAAGGCAGAUUAGGGUGUUCCCGGUUUUAAGAUAAUCGUGUUUAGGGCGUUCCCAGUUUAGGUUCCAGGUUUAAGGUUUAAGAUUAUUCCUGCUGGGAAUAGGGCGUAUCCUGCUGCCUGAGUUCCCCUUGAGUUCUCACGGGAUUUAGACAGUAUAUUUUGGAGAUAGAAGCCCAGUGGAGGUGAUUUGGGAAGAGAACGUGGAUUUCCCCAGAACGUGAUUGUAGACGGCUGGUGUGAGUUCGGGAAUAAAGAGUUGCUGUUUGAAUCUACAAGCUGUGUGGUGGCUCGUGAUUGUGUGCCCAGCCAGACUGCGGCAUUUGUGCCCAGCCAGACUGUGGCAGAGUAGAGCUUAUUAAAGUGUGCAUCUCACACUAUCGGUGCUAAAGUCAUUUUCUUUAAAAUACCUAAACUUUCCAUGCCUGGUCCUAGUGCACAUGACUGGUACACAGCUGGUUCACCUUCGACUCUCCACUUGAGUUUGACACCCAUCAGGGAGCCUAGUUCACCCCUCACUGUCUUGCAUUCCUCAGUAAGGCCAUGUUCCUAUAUCUCUACAUGUUUCCUAAAUUCCUAUACUUGUAUCUCAUGGACCAGCAAAAAACACUUCACAAAUUCACCCAGCUCCUCACAUCUCAAUGUAAUACAGUGAGAAAAGAUUCUUAGACUGGUGAAAGUAACAUAGAAAAAUAUCAUGAUAGAGUGUGCUAUCUGAGACUGAGUUCAAAAAGCACUAAUCAAAAGGGAAAACACUAGUCAGUCUUAAUAUAUUAAAAUUAAGAAUUACCUAUUAAAAGAAACCAUUAAAAGAGUAUGUGUAAUACAUAGAAUAAAGGAUUGUUUUCUGUUUCCAGACUGAUAAUGUGAAAUCCAAAUUAACAAAUUGAAGUAUGUAUAUAAAUAAUUUUACAUCACCCCCUAAAAAUUAUAAAGCAAAAGAUAAAUGGCCAAUAGAAAGAAACACUUGCAAUCUAUCCUAGACAAUAAACUAAUAUGCUUAAUAUAUAGGAAGCUCUUGAUUAAAAAGAUCCAGGGAGAAGUGCUGGAGAGUGAUAUUGGCUAAAUUAUAUUGUAUUAGUGUUCAUGUAUGAGCAUGUAACAACAAAUCCCCUUGAUAUGUACAAUUUUCUUCAAUGUUCUGUAGUUUUCAUUGUAGAGGUCUUUCCCUUUCUUAUUUAGUUUUAUUCC